rnacentral:rRNA from 1 species
UAAUACAGAGGUCUCAAGCGUUGUUCGGAUUCAUUGGGCGUAAAGGGUGCGUAGGUGGCGAUGUAAGUCGGAUGUGAAAUCUCCAGGCUCAACUUGGAAACUGCAUUCGAUACUGCGUCGCUCGAGGAUUGUAGAGGGCAUUGGAAUUCACGGUGUAGCAGUGAAAUGCGUAGAUAUCGUGAGGAAGACCAGUGGCGAAGGCGAAUGCCUGGGCAAUUCCUGACACUGAGGCACGAAGGCCAGGGGAGCGAACGGG